rnacentral:rRNA from 1 species
UACGUAGGGACCAAGCGUUGUUCGGAUUUACUGGCGUAAAGGGCGCGUAGGCGGCGUGUUAAGUCAGCUGUGAAAUCUCCGAGCUUAACUCGGAACGGUCAGCUGAUACUGAUGUGCUAGAGUGCAGAAGGGGCAAUCGGAAUUCUUGGUGUAGCGGUGAAAUGCGUAGAUAUCAAGAGGAACACCUGAGGUGAAGACGGGUUGCUGGGCUGACACUGACGCUGAGGCGCGAAAGCCUAGGGUAGCAAACGGG